rnacentral:rRNA from 1 species
GACGAACGCUGGCGGCGUGCUUAACACAUGCAAGUCGAACGGAAAGGCCCUGCUUUUGUGGGGUGCUCGAGUGGCGAACGGGUGAGUAACACGUGAGUAACCUGCCCUUGACUUUGGGAUAACUUCAGGAAACUGGGGCUAAUACCGGAUAGGAGCUCCUGCUGCAUGGUGGGGGUUGGAAAGUUUCGGCGGUUGGGGAUGGACGCGCGGCUUAUCAGCUUGUUGGUGGGGUAGUGGCUUACCAAGGCUUUGACGGGUAGCCGGCCUGAGAGGGUGACCGGCCACAUUGGGACUGAGAUACGGACCAGACUCCUACGGGAGGCAGCAGUGGGGAAUAUUGCACAAUGGGAGGAAGCCUGAUGCAGCAACGCCGCGGGCGGGAUGACGGCCUUCGGGUUGUAAACCGCUUCCGCCUGUGACGAAGCGGGAGUGACGGUAAUGGGUAAAGAAGCACCGGCUAACUACGUG